AUAGUCUACCUCUAUGGAGAACACACCAGAUACUGGAAUUCUAACACAAGGUGUCAUGUAAACAUGUUGACAGUAUGUUCUAGCCACGAAGAAAGUAGGUAGAUCAGGGGGCUGUGGAGCUGUGCCAGGGCUCAGAAGACAGUAAUGACUGAUUUUUCUCAAGUGAAAAGAAAUGUUUUCCAUGCCUCAGUGAAGUAUCUGAAGUUGGGGCUAUUGGCCUGUAGGCAGGAGAAGAUAAGAGUCUAAAUUAUUACCCUAGUAGUAAUGUUCACUAUGAGCUAAAGAGAACCUCAAAAUCAGUCUACAAGGGUGUCUUCAUUUUCGGAGGAAGAAAGCCAUGGAAGAAGUACCGUCCUGAAGUCUGGAAAUACUCUGCCUCCACUGUAUCUGAGGCAGCCUGUUACUGCCAUCCCAAAAGGCUAAGUGGACCAGUAAUUUGAAAAUGUUAAGUAGCAGAGCAACAGCUAGAUUCAAAAUAAGUAAGACUCUAUUAACUUGGAAUAGCCUCAUCCAGAAAAGCCUUAGGUGGGGGAAUCAGUGUUGAAGGACACAUCCUACUUAGGAUUUAUUAAUUUCCUAAUGUUAUAUGGGAGUAGAAUAUCAGGAUACAUUUCUAGCAAAUUCCUACAUUAAAUACAAUUAGACUGAGGAAUACAACUCUUCUCAUAGAUUUCCAAACUAAUACGAGGCUUCCCUACUGAUACUGUGUUACCCGCUUGAGGCAUAUCUAUGGAAGAAAGAGAAAAUGAAUGCUUUGGUGCUUUGCACCCUUUGACCAUUCACCCAAACAUUUACAUUGUGGGCAAGGCACAGCACUAGGCACUUUUGGUAACUGGCCUACAAUGAAGACAUGAUGGCACAGCAGGAGAAAACAGCCUUUCAAAAGUGUCUAACAAGGCUUUGACAGU